CUCAGAACGAACGCUGGCGGCAGGCCUAACACAUGCAAGUCGAGCGCUACCUUCGGGUGGAGCGGCGGACGGGUUAGUAACGCGUGGGAACGUACCCAGAUCUAAGGAAUAGCCACUGGAAACGGUGAGUAAUACCUUAUACGCCCUUCGGGGGAAAGAUUUAUCGGAUUUGGAUCGGCCCGCGUUAGAUUAGAUAGUUGGUGGGGUAAUGGCCUACCAAGUCUACGAUCUAUAGCUGGUUUUAGAGGAUGAUCAGCAACACUGGGACUGAGACACGGCCCAGACUCCUACGGGAGGCAGCAGUGGGGAAUCUUGGACAAUGGGCGCAAGCCUGAUCCAGCCAUGCCGCGUGAGUGAUGAAGGCCUUAGGGUCGUAAAGCUCUUUCGCCAGAGAUGAUAAUGACAGUAUCUGGUAAAGAAACCCCGGCUAACUCCGUGCCAGCAGCCGCGGUAAUACGGAGGGGGUUAGCGUUGUUCGGAAUUACUGGGCGUAAAGCGUACGUAGGCGGAUUAGUCAGUCAGAGGUGAAAUCCCAGGGCUCAACCCUGGAACUGCCUUUGAUACUGCUAGUCUUGAGUUCGAGAGAGGUGAGUGGAAUUCCAAGUGUAGAGGUGAAAUUCGUAGAUAUUUGGAGGAACACCAGUGGCGAAGGCGGCUCACUGGCUCGAUACUGACGCUGAGGUACGAAAGUGUGGGGAGCAAACAGGAUUAGAUACCCUGGUAGUCCACACCGUAAACGAUGAAUGCCAGUCGUCGGGCAGUAUACUGUUCGGUGACACACCUAACGGAUUAAGCAUUCCGCCUGGGGAGUACGGUCUCUUGAUUAAAACUCAAAGGAAUUGACGGGGGCCCGCCUUUCUUGUGGAGCAUGUGGUUUAAUUCGAAGCAACGCGCAGAACCUUACCAACCCUUGACAUCCUAUGACAACCUGAGAGAUCAGGCUUUCCUUCGGGACAUAGUGACAGGUGCUGCAUGGCUGUCGUCAGCUCGUGUCGUGAGAUGUUCGGUUAAGUCCGGCAACGAGCGCAACCCACAUCCCUAGUUGCCAGCAGUUCGGCUGGGCACUCUAUGGAAACUGCCCGUGAUAAGCGGGAGGAAGGUGUGGAUGACGUCAAGUCCUCAUGGCCCUUACGGGUUGGGCUACACACGUGCUACAAUGGCAACUACAGUGAGUUAAUCUCCAAAAGUUGUCUCAGUUCGGAUUGGGGUCUGCAACUCGACCCCAUGAAGUCGGAAUCGCUAGUAAUCGCGUAACAGCAUGACGCGGUGAAUACGUUCCCGGGCCUUGUACACACCGCCCGUCACACCAUGGGAGUUGGUUCUACCCGACGGCCGUGCGCUAACCUCUUCGGAGGAGGCAGCGGACCACGGUAGGAUCAGCGACUGGGGUGAAGUCGUACCAAGGUAAC
rnacentral:rRNA from 1 species